CAGCUUCUAUUGCACCAAGUAUUGAAGGUUAAAAACACAAAAAAAGAAACAUUUGGUUUUGAAAACACUGCAAAUAGCCAAGUACAGUACUUUGGUAAAUAAAAAACAAAAUGGUUCAGAUCAACACACUCUGUGGAAAGAAACACGCUAGAGGAAAUGACCUACGGACAUCAACGACGGCCACAUUUCUCCCCAUCGAGCUCCACAGAUAAGGCAAGACUUGCUAAGUCUAUGGAUCAUGAGCCCAUGGAGGUCUGAAAUAUCUCCAGACUGAAGCUAGAACAAGUAUAGUGCAAUUAGAAAAAAAAAAAGAGAAGGUUCCUGAGCCUGUGAAGGCCCCUAUGUUCUCCACAGCCACACCUGCCCUCCUUCAUAAAGGCGGCUGACGCCCACCAGCACUUGUACAUCAGCAAGAGGAACACAUAGGUUUCAAGUCCAACUCCUGGCUCUUUUCUUCUUCCCACUGAGCUCAGUGCUGGUGGAGGAUGCUGGAAGGGCAGCCAGGGAGGCCAAGGGCCCUUUCCACUAUGGAAAAUGAAAAGUGAGAGUGAGAAGAUAUGAGGAGCCCCACACCAGCAUUCCCCAAGUUUUGGUCGAAGGACCUGCCAGGGGAUCAAAUCACAGGCUAAGGUCUCUGAAUGAGCUCAAAUGAUUGUCAUGGACGGCUGGCAACAGCAACCUGCUGGAGGCUGACAUGCAAAGGACUAGGGGCAGACCACAGAAGUUUCAUACAGUGAUCAUUACACUCCAUGACCGUCAGCACAGUGAAUGGAAGUUCUGUAUCACUGGUAUGUCCUGCUUCCAAUAAAGACACCACGCAGAAGCUCCUGCUUUUACAGAAAUAUACUCUUUACUGGUAUCAGCCCCUUCUCAAGUAACUUGGCAAGGAUGCUAAGCAUUUUAAUCAAGCUACAAAGUCAUCCUAAUUAGGAUAGAGAGACUCCGGAAAGUAAUCCCUUGGAAGAAAUGGUUAAGAGCCUGAGGGUUUCACAGGGACUGGACCUUGGGACACAACAGGGCCAGGCAGUACACAAGGCCCAGCUCUUCCCCAGGGCCAGGCUCUGCGGCACAUGUUUCAAGUUCCACAUUGCACAAGUGCUUUCAGACUGGGGCUCGCUAUCUCCACUCCAAGCCAGUUAUCCACAUCCCCCUCUAAUCUGUGACGGCAGAAGAUGUGUUAUCAUUUAAAUAUGCCAUCUAGAUCCUCUACGAUACCAGUGGAAAAACACAAUUUGCUUCAGUCAGGAACACACACCUUGCAAAAAGAGCCAUCAUUAAAUCACCUCAGAACAACUGCUGGAAGGCCCCAGAGUUUUAGCAGCACCUGUUCUGAAAGCUGAGAUGGACAGCGAACAAUGAGGCCAGCAGGACAGAAAGAUGGCAUGAGACUCCGAGUCUAACGGUUUGCCACAGACAGACAGAGCCUGGAGGUAAAAAGGUGAAGAGCUAUGCAUCUACCCAAAACGGGAGUCGGGGAGGGCCACAGAUGUGACACACUGAAACUGAGACGCUCCAUUCCCAGCCCGCCCACCAGGACGCCGCAGGUCAGGGUGACUUGGGCAGCUCUGACUAGGAAUCCCAGCUUCCUUUAACCGACUGCAUACUCAAGGUGAACGUUCCACAGAGGUAAACGGACAGCAUUCUCUGUUGACCCAGUAAAACCCAGGCAGAGUGUGUAGUUUCUCAGAACGAGAGAAAGUGCACAUUGUCGACAGGGACUCACUGCGAGUACAGGUCAAGGCCAAAGUCCACGUGAUACCUACCUACUUAACAUGUGAGCAACCCCCACUUAACACGGCCCCUCCCACCUCACACAGUGAAAGCUCCCCAGGGACGCGGGGCAGGGCAUUAUAAAUUUCCGACACAAAUGUUCCCUCCGAGUCCAGCUCGAGCUGCCCCACAGGGAGAGCCCACUUCACAAGCCCUCGGAAUCAAAACGGGUUUGGAAGCAUUCUUACAGUUCAUAAAAGAAACGAGAGACAACCUCAACUAAACUAAAAUCCUUCUUUCUGCCACAAUUCCUCAACCAGACUUCGCUCCUGAAAGGACAUGUUCAUGUUAUUGAAAAAUUAAAUAUACAUACACAUUCUAUUCUCUAAUUGGUGGCAACUAUACUAUUUAGAAGUUGUGAUUCUACGUUGUUUUAAUACAUCUACCUCUCUAGUACAAAGCUGUUGCCACUAAACUUUUAUUUCUUAUUUGGACAUUUAAAAAAUCUUUUUUUAAAAUCCAUAAAACCUCUAUAUACAGUUUACGAGACUAGUAAGCAGCUAGGACCACUGCCCCAGCCCUUUCCUCCCGGCCUCACUGAAAGAUACCAAGACAAUCCCAUGUAACACAAACCUCUAACAGCCAAGGAACAACACAGAGGGGAAGGAAGAUUCGCUUCCUAACGUGGAGUCACAUGAGCGCCUGCACUAGGGGACAGGCACUGACAACAGCCAUCCCAGAACUAAAUGCACGGGGCCCCCACUGUGGCUGCCAGUGGACUACUUUUCAAGUGCUUACCAAGGCAGCCAAGUAUAUGGAUUCCAUCUACCUCCUACUUCGCUGAGACUGAGGCAGUGAAGUCUAAACUCAACCCUACCUAGAAGACAGCACUAAAGUUGGACACAUACACCCCAUUUCUAAUAAUUAACAUACUGAACACAGAUCAAUUGUAACUAGAAAACCAUGAAAUGGAAACAAAAGAAAAUUACUGAAGCUAUUUGAUUAGUUUUUAAAACCACUAUUAUUUUACCCCAGAAAUGCUGGUCUGUUAUCAGAAUUAGGUAAUUUAUAAAUAAAUGUGCCCAAUAUUCUUUAAUAACUUUAACAACUUAUAAAACUUCUAAAACCCAAAAGGGCCUAAGGCCACCUUCAUUCACCAAGUAACUAAAGCAAUUCUACUAUUUCUGACAAUGGGACUCCCUUAAGCUAUUUCUGACACCUAAUUCUGCUCAAUUUCUGAUGCACAAUCUUGAUCUUUCUGAGAGGAUCUGGGCUGCUGCACUCUCGCGGCACAGACAGACAAGAAAGAGUGUUCCUUAGAGAAGCUCAGCCACAGGAUCUGCCCAGAGCUGAAAGCCAAGAGAACAGGAGAUCCUGAGGCAGUGGCCCUCACUCCUUCGGAGACAGCAAGGCAACGCGGACCCUUCCCACGUUUGGACUGACUGCUCGAGCCUCAAACUCAGAACUCUGGGAUGUGCAAAGAAAAAGUGCUGCGCAGUUUCCAAAUCUGCUAACUAUUACAAUGUACUGUACCAGGAAGAAGCCCAAAGCACCAUGUCCUGGGAGCAAUUCCAAGAGACUACUGAUAAUCCAACCACAAAAAGUCACCAAUUCAAAC
ensembl:lncRNA